UUGACCCCUUCAUCAACGCCAUUUCUUCUCUUGACAGUGGCAAUUUGUUCUUCCUUUGAAUCGUUCUUGGAAGAAUCGUCGAUAAACUUUGAUCUCACAAAUACCAUAAAGUUUCUUUGCUUUUGGCUCAAACCUCUCAAGAACCCUUUAUCGAUUAGCCCUAUCUAUCUUUUUAUUUUUCUUUAUUGUAACUUUGAGUAUGCUCGUUAUUGUUGUGCUUUAAACUUUGAUAAUUUUUCCCUCUAUCUCUGUAUUUGACUUCUACGUUAGUGGAAUAAAAACAAA
rnacentral:sRNA from 1 species